UCUUGAGACCGCCCCAGCCCCGAGACAAGCAGCCACCGAGAUCCGAGAUCCGAGAUGAGCCGCCUUCGCUGAGGAACGAGAGGAGCCGCCGCCUCGAGGUCGUCGUUGUGCCACACCGCCGCCUCUAGGUCGCCGCUGUCACGCACUGCCUCAGGUCCGUUGACCACUCCUCUCCUCGCCACUCCUCACUGCCAGCCCCGCAAAGCUUUGCCUCCACGGCGGGGAUUCGCUCUAUGGCGUCCAUGAGAGGUGGCUGCAGCCGCCAUGGUGUUGAUCCGGUCCUUGCUGCUGGAUCCGGCCCUCUCCACUCCUCCUCUCGGUCCGAUCCAAUGGAGACCACACGACGUCGACCUCCCGGAUGGCGUGAGGUCCCAGUGGCAACGUCAGGCCCCUUGCGGUUGGGGUCGAUUUGAGGUGGCUCUGGUGGAAACAUGGACCACGUCACACUGUUACAGGGGCUCCCGAGGCGACAUCCAGUUGCUCCGUGCGCGGGGAUUAUUUUCACCUCUGUUUACUGUUGCGUUUAUUUUGCAGGCCAAAAACAGGUGAGCGAAUCGGGAUUUAGUCAUGCGAGAUUUUUUGCGAUGAUGUUGCUCCAUGUUCUUUUUGUGAUUCACGUGUUCGUUUUGCACAUGUUCAUAGUGGGCAACCUCGACGUCGUCGUCACUUCGAGCGCGGCGAGAUCCUCGAGGUCGUCGUCAUCACAGACAAGGGCACUGGCAGAUCCAAUGGCGGCGGAUUCGAGGCGGAGGCGGCCAUUAGGGCAUGCUUGAGUCCGUACCCGAUGAUUGGUGGCCGAAGGGCAACUGCAACCUCGCAUGCCUCGGGUCCAGAGGUCCAAGGCACCACAACCAACUGCUCUUCAGACAUAUGAUGGGUGUCCGUGUUGAACAUAGAAGAUGGUUGCCCUUCAAGCAUCAACAAAUUGGAAAUUUCAAGCCCUGAUGAGAUUACAAGCAGGGCGGAAAGGGAAUCAACACCAUCACGCCAAAACAUUGAAGGUGAAUAAGUGAACCACUAUUUAAGUAAAUAGAUGAAACAUAUUUUGUUAGAAUUAACCAGUUGCUGCUAAUAUAAUCCUCUCCAGGAAGAUCAGUUUCGGUCAAUACAAUCUGCUAUUUACUUUCUAAUUUCUAUGUAUUUAAGCAUGUUCAAACUCAGUACAAUUGUACAAAUGGAUAUAUUUUGAUUUGGUGACUUGCUAGAGACGAUUGUUCUGGACAGAACCUGGACCUUAUAAUAUCUACCUAUAUAUAUGUUUCUGGCUGCAUGUCUACUUAUUCUCUUAAGGCCACAGUAGGACCGAUCGACACUAGAUAUAUCUAAUAACUGUAUCAUGGUUUUCGCAUUUUUUUUUAAAAAAAAUAACUGUAUCAUGGGAUCACAUGCCAUUCUUUUUGCUGAAAAAUCACCUGGCUUUAUUGGAAAUGAAUUACCAGGACAGUUCCUGUGCACAUUAUGCUUGGUUAACACCUUUCAUUUAUCACAAACUAAUGGGGAAUAAACACUAAGUAUGCAUGUCUUCCUAUCCUUCUGAUCAUAGCCAUCUUUGGUGUCAAGUGAUAUUAAAAUUCUGAAACUACACACACAUAGUUUAGGGGUUGUUCAUACAAUAAUCUUGAUAAGUAUGUGUCUGUAAAAUCAGCAGAAGUGGUUGUUCCUUUAGGUUGCUAGAAAUGCUUUUAGCUACAACAUUAUUUCUGUCAAAAACAUUCCAGCUGCCACAUGUGUACUCGUUUCAUUGUGUAGUGUAUUUCCGAAAAUGAUAAUUCCUAUGAUUCAAAGUUUUUGGACUAAGUUUGAAACUCGAAGGACGACUGCCGUAGUAGGAUGAAGAAAUGAUGUCGCGCACUGGAGGGUGUUGCCGUCGGCCAUGCGUUAGGUGUCUGUUCUACUGGAAGUCGCUCCCAGGAGGGCGUCCAUGGUCUAUGCCUCGAGAAGCAAAGAAGGGACUCCAACUACAUCAUUGACGCAGCAGCCGAGCAGAGCAUGAAAGCAUGUCGUUGAUACAAAUAUUCAGUUGCCACGGCCAUUGAUACAACAGCGGGGCAGAUCAUGAAUGUCAGAGACACGGUGGAGGUGACGCUACCUUUCUCGUCUUGGCAUCAUGCAGAUACUGGUAGUUUAGAUGUUAUUUGCCACACUGCGGAGAUCUCAUGUUCAAGCCCAUCAGAAGUGCAGAAUUUUGGUCGAUGUAAAUGAUUUUACUUGAGCAGACACUUCUCCUCCCGUCUCAUUUACCAUCAGUAUUGGAAUUGGAUGUUGUUCCUAUUACACAACAAAAUGGGCAAGGUUAGGUUGCAGUUCAGUGUGGCAUUCUGGCAUAUGUUUCGGGGUACUGGAGGAGAUCCUUUUGGUGCACCUACAAAGAACUGGCCUUGGGAUGAUGGCACAAAUUCCCUGGCCAUGGCUAAGAGAAGAAGUAUGGGAAUUACCUGAUCUUGUGUCUUAGGUCCAUGGCUGGAAUCAACAACUUAAUUAUGCUUCGAUUUCUGUUUCGGUGAUAUCUCAAUUCAAGUUCAUGAAGAAGCUUGGAGUUGACAGGUGGUGCUUCCAUGACAGGGACAUCGCCCCUGAUGGCAAAACACUCACGCACAAGGAAUAUGGUUGUUGAUGGUUUACGCCCCGGCUGCGCCCACAUCAUCCAGACACCAAGUUCAAGACCAAGUUCUAACCCCUGUACCCAAUCUACCUCCAUGGAUCGUGUCUCUCACUAACCAAGAGCAUCAAUUCAACUCAACAGAUUGACAAAAGAGAUGAACCUAGAGUUUGAGGCUUGGGUAGUGUGGACAUUGACCUGAUGAUGAGUGUUGUAUGGUGGUCAAGUGGUGCCACUUCCCCUCGCCACACGCUGCUUAGUGUGCUCUCUGUUGGUGUUUGGCUGCUGCUGCUGCUGUAGGUCAAGAAGAAGGGAGCAAGCGGCAGAGAUUAUGAUAUUGCUGCUACUGGGAGAAAGAAAGAAAAGGUAGUCCAUGGUGGGCCACAUCCUACGUGGCGGAUCGACCAUGCGCGUCUAUGAGCCUCAUAUACUCCCCAUAUUUCGUGUCAGUGUGAGAGUUUGCGGAUAGCCUGGACCGGGGAUGAUAUAAGGGGUCGGGUUGGGUUACCAUUUUCCUUCUCUCUCCCGUGCGGUCAAUGAUCGGGCAUGUCCAUAGAUUUGAGGGGACCAGCUGGAUGUGCUCUAAGAUUAUUGUGUUUAAUAAUAUGAUGUGUGUUAGCCGACUGCCGAAAAAAGAUGUGAGUUAGCUUAGACGACAUUGUUCUCGGUAAUAUUAACUCAGUGAGUAGUACCUUAUAUUUUUUUUCCAAAGGCCCGUGGCAACGCACGGGCGUUUUACUAGUAUUGCAUAAGAAGCAGGUGACAUGUAAUUGCAUUACUUUAUCGCUAUGCGAUAGCAAUAGUUGCAAAAGCAAUAGCUGGUGAGACGACCAUGUGACGACACGUUGAUAAAAGAUCAAGAUGAUGGAGAUCAUGGUAUCAUGCCGGU